GCUGCACGUUGCACCAUACAACUGAGGUCACUUGACAUUACUGAACAGGUCAUCCACGUGACAUUACUGUCAGCUGUUCACAGGUCAUCCACGUUGCAUUACUGUCAGCUGUUCAAUGGUCAUCCAUGUGACAUUACUGUCAGCUGUUCAAUGGUCAUCAACGUGACAUUACUGUCAGCUGUUCACAGGUCAUCCACGUCACAUUACUGUCAGCUGUUCACAGGUCAUCCACGUGACAUUACUGUCAGCUGUUCACAGGUCAUCAACGU